AUGUACUCUGACCCUGGAUUAGCCGGCAGGGAAAACACCGAGAAGGUGAUUAGGCUACCUCGUAGUGGCCAAAUUUCUGUUUCCGUAGGUCUCAGAUGGAGCCCAAGAUUCUGCAUCUUUCACAAGCUUCCGAGGGUGUGGAUGCUGCGGGUCCUAGGACUGCCUUUGGGUGGUGAGGAUCCAGAUGCUCUGGAUGCGGCUGGAGAUGCUAGAAUAAACAUGCAGGGCCUGGCCAGAAAGGCAGAUACAACAUAUGGCACAUACUUCAUCAUCACCGAUCCCAUCCAUUCUCAACACAUUUUGGAGGAACUUGCUGAUGGGUUACAUAGAGGAGUUGAGGGAAACGCAGGAGUCAGGAAUGACUUCAAGUAUUUUGGUCUCCGUGACUCGCAAAUGGUGAUAUCAACAAUGAAAUCUAGAGGGAUGGGACACCUGGGUGGCUCAGUGGCUGAAUGUCUGCCUUCAGCUCAGGACAUGAUCUCAGGGGUCCUGGGAUCGAGUCCCACAUCAGGCUUCCAGCAGGGAGCCUGCUUUUCCCUCUGCCUAUGUCUCUGCCUCUCUCUGUGUCUCUCAUGAAUAAAUAAAUAAAUAAAAUCUUUUUUAAAAAUGAGAUCUAGAG
rnacentral:lncRNA from 1 species